AACUGUAAAGGGGAAGAGUUCUGUAAGAAAGAAUAUAUAUAAUAUUAUACCUUUAGUAUCAGGGUUGAUUAAUAUAGGAAAGAAUUUAAUAAUUUCGAAAUCAUUUGAUUUAAAGAAGUAUAUAUUAUAUUUAUAGCAAAAAAAGAUGUACUCUUCUUUAGAGGUGAAACUUUUACGAAAGUGAUAAUAUCUAAUUGGACUUGAAACUUUAAAUGUAUUCUUAUAUAGAAUAAACUCUGUCGGGUAAGCUGGUAGAGAAUAAAAUAAUAAACUAUAUUUGUUAAAAACUAGGCUUUAAAUUAGCUAUGUUAAUAAUUUAUAUUAAAUAAUUUACAAUUAUAUAUAUAAUAUUUUUAAUUAAGGUUCUAAUUUUCAUAGCGAAGAAGAAAAAGAGAAAAUGAUUAAAUAAGUAUUUUUGAUUGAUUAAUGGGGUGAACUUAGUUAUAUUUUGCCUGUUUAUCAAAAACAUCUCUUUUUGGUUAAUAAAAAGUAUGGCCUGCCCGGUGAGAGUUUAACGGCUGCGGUAUUUUGACCGUGCUAAGGUAGCAUAAUAAAUUGUUUCUUAAUUGGGGACUAGAAUGAAAGGUUUUACAACUUAUGAAUUUAUUAAGUUAAAUAAAAGAAUUUUUAUUAUAAGUAAGAAUACUUAUAUCUCAUAAAGGGACGAUAAGACCCUAGAAGCUUAAAUUUUUAAGGGUAUAUAAUAUUUGUAUUUACUCUUUAUAUUUGUAAUAAUUUUAAUUGGGGAAAUGAAAGUUUUUAUAAUAUUUUUAGGUUAGUAAUUAAUCUUUUAAUAAGAAAAUUAGUAUUAGUUACUCUAGGGAUAACAGCUCAAUAAUUUUGGAUAGGCCUUAUAUAUAAUGUUGAUUGCGACCUCGAUGUUGAAUUAAAAUAUCUCUGUAGAGUAGAAGCUACAGCAGAAGGUUUGUUCAACCUUUAAUUUUUUACAUGAUUUGAGUUCAGAUCGGUUUAAGCCAGAUCGGUUUCUAUCUUUUAUAAAAUAUAAAUUUUUUUAGUACGAAAGGACCAAAAAAUUUUAAUAGUU
rnacentral:rRNA from 1 species